UACGGAGGGUGCGAGCGUUAAUCGGAAUUACUGGGCGUAAAGCGCACGUAGGCGGUUAGGUAAGUCGGAUGUGAAAGCCCUGGGCUUAACCUGGGAACUGCAUUCGAUACUGCCUGGCUAGAGUAUGGGAGAGGGAAGCGGAAUUUCCGGUGUAGCGGUGAAAUGCGUAGAUAUCGGAAGGAACACCAAUGGCGAAGGCAGCUUCCUGGCCCAAUACUGACACUCAGGUGCGAAAGCGUGGGGAUCAAACAGG
rnacentral:rRNA from 1 species